CCUGCCCUCACAUUCACACGGUGUCCUCCCCUGCAUGUGUGUCUGUGUCUCUUGUCUUUUUUUUUUUUUUUUUUGAGACGGAGUCUUAUUCUGUCACCCAGGCUGGAGUACAGAGGUGCAAUCUCAGCUCACUGCAACCUCCGCCCCCCCAGGUUCAAUCUCCUGCCUCAGCCUUCUGAAUAGCUGGGAUUACAGGUCACAUUCAUGGUACCAGAGAUGAGAACUUCAACAUUAUCUUUCUGCGGGAUACAACUCAACCCUGAACACCUGCUUACACAGGAAAUGCACAGAGCGCCACAAGACAUCCAGCCACAGGACUGUGGGAAUAAGCCGCCAUUUCCGAACAGAUUAUCUGAAAACAUUCACGGCUGUCUCUGAAGUGCUGAGGACUGGAAAUUCCUGGAGGACAGGGACUAUACCUUCAUCAUCCAGCUUCCCUGGUGCCUAGCAUAAGCCUGUUUACAAGCAUGGAAUCAACAUUAGCUGAAUGGAUGAACAAGUUAUGAGAAGGUUUAGGAUACCAUACAGGAGUAGUUUAAUCAGAGUCCUUGAAGAAGAGGUGAAGCAAUGAACUGAUGCAGAGAAAAGAGCAUCAGGCCAAGGGGCAGCUGACCAAGGCUUUUGGCACAGAUCUGUGGGUUUUACCAAGUCACUUUCACUGGACCCCAGAUUCUUCAUCUAUAAACCAAGAUCAUCUUCCAGGAUCCCAGCAAAAAGGACUCUAUAAGAGUAUGAUGGGGACCACAUCAGUCAAAUCCAGAUAUGUUUCAGACUCAAGCCCCAGCCUAAUUCCAGAUGAAGGGAUUUUCCGAGCAGCUAUCUUGAUCUGGGGGACCUGCCCCUGUUCUGACCAGGGCUGAACGCUUGGCCCAGGAAAAGGACAAGUCCUAGUAUCUAAAAUGAUGACAAAGACAAGGCACAGAGAUGAUGGUGCUGAUGCCACUGGGCACUGGAACCAUCACAUCACAGGGACUGGCACCAACAUCCCAGCAGGGCAAGCCAACGGUGUGAGAAGGCAGGAAUCAAGAUCACACAGAGGGAGCUGGGCUGCAAGGAGGAGGCUGGAACAGAUCCUCAGAGAAAGGCAGAGAUGAGCAUCCACGUGGCCGCAGAGGAACAGAGGAGGCAGUUCCAAUGGCCGUGGACCUGAGAUAUGCUUUGUUGCUCUCUGACACUGCUCCCGCUCCAUGGGACUGGCUGUUAUGUUUUUGGGACAAGUAUCCUUUUACUUAAGCCAACUCGGGUGACUCUCUUGUCCUUGCAACCAAG